rnacentral:rRNA from 1 species
UUCCCUCCAGAGUGGAUCCUGAGUACGGCGGAACACGUGAAAUUCCGUCGGAAUCCGGGAGGACCAUCUCCCAAGGCUAAAUACUCCCUAGUGACCGAUAGUGAACCAGUACCGUGAGGGAAAGGUGAAAAGCACCCCGGAAGGGGAGUGAAACAGUUCCUGAAACCGUGUGCCUACAAGUAGUUAGAGCCCGUUAAUGGGUGAUAGCGUGCCUUUUGUAGAAUGAACCGGCGAGUUACGAUUUGUUGCAAGGUUAAGCGGAAAAAGCGGAGCCGUAGCGAAAGCGAGUCUGAAUAGGGCGCAUAAGUAACAGGUCGUAGACCCGAAACCAGGUGAUCUACCCAUGUCCAGGAUGAAGGUAAGGUAAUACUUACUGGAGGUCCGAACCCACGCACGUUGAAAAGUGCGGGGAUGAGGUGUGGGUAGCGGAGAAAUUCCAAUCGAACUUGGAGAUAGCUGGUUCUCUCCGAAAUAGCUUUAGGGCUAGCCUCGAGGUAAAGAGUCAUGGAGGUAGAGCACUGUUUGGACUAGGGGCCCUUCUCGGGUUACCGAAUUCAGAUAAACUCCGAAUGCCAUGUACUUAUACUCGGGAGUCAGACUGCGAGUGAUAAGAUCCGUAGUCGAAAGGGAAACAGCCCAGACCACCAGUUAAGGUCCCCAAAUAUAUGUUAAGUGGAAAAGGAUGUGGGGUUGCUUAGACAACCAGGAUGUUGGCUUAGAAGCAGCCACCAUUGAAAGAGUGCGUAAUAGCUCACUGGUCGAGUGACCCCGCGCCGAAAAUGUACCGGGGCUAAACAUAUUACCGAAACUGUGGAUGAACCUCUUCGGAGGUUCGUGGUAGGAGAGCGUUCUAAGGGCGGUGAAGUCAGACCGGAAGGACUGGUGGAGCGCUUAGAAGUGAGAAUGCCGGUAUGAGUAGCGAAAGAAGGGUGAGAAUCCCUUCCACCGAAUAUCUAAGGUUUCCUGAGGAAGGCUCGUCCGCUCAGGGUUAGUCGGGACCUAAGCCGAGGCCGAUAGGCGUAGGCGAUGGACAACAGGUAGAGAUUCCUGUACCAGUGCUAAUUGUUUAACCGAUGGGGUGACACAGAAGGAUAGGGAAUCGCACGAAUGGAAAUGUGCGUCCAAGCAGUGAGUGUGAGAAGUAGGCAAAUCCGCUUCUCGCGAAGCAUGAGCUGUGAUGGGGAAGGAAAUUAAGUACGGAAGUUCCUGAUUUCACGCUGUCAAGAAAAGCCUCUAGGAAGAGUAGUACUGCCCGUACCGCAAACCGACACAGGUAGAUGAGGAGAGAAUCCUAAGGUGAGCGAGAGAACUCUCGUUAAGGAACUCGGCAAAAUGACCCCGUAACUUCGGGAGAAGGGGUGCUCUAUUAGGGUGCAAGCCCGAGAGAGCCGCAGUGAAUAGGCCCAGGCGACUGUUUAGCAAAAACACAGGUCUCUGCAAAACCGUAAGGUGACGUAUAGGGGCUGACGCCUGCCCGGUGCUGGAAGGUUAAGAGGAGUGCUUAGCUUCGGCGAAGGUACGAAUUGAAGCCCCAGUAAACGGCGGCCGUAACUAUAACGGUCCUAAGGUAGCGAAAUUCCUUGUCGGGUAAGUUCCGACCCGCACGAAAGGCGCAACGAUCUGGGCACUGUCUCAACGAGAGACUCGGUGAAAUUAUAGUACCUGUGAAGAUGCAGGUUACCCGCGACAGGACGGAAAGACCCCGUGGAGCUUUACUGCAACCUGAUAUGGAAUGUUUGUACCGCUUGUACAGGAUAGGUAGGAGCCGAAGAGACGUGUGCGCUAGCAUACGAGGAGGCAAUGGUGGGAUACUACCCUGGCUGUAUGACCAUUCUAACCCGCCACGCUUAGCGCGUGGGGAGACAGUGUCAGGUGGGCAGUUUGACUGGGGCGGUCGCCUCCUAAAGAGUAACGGAGGCGCCCAAAGGUUCCCUCAGAAUGGAUGGAAAUCAUUCGCAGAGUGUAAAGGCACAAGGGAGCUUGACUGCGAGACUGACAAGUCGAGCAGGGACGAAAGUCGGGCUUAGUGAUCCGGUGGUUCCGCAUGGAAGGGCCAUCGCUCAACGGAUAAAAGCUACCCCGGGGAUAACAGGCUUAUCUCCCCCAAGAGUCCACAUCGACGGGGAGGUUUGGCACCUCGAUGUCGGCUCGUCGCAUCCUGGGGCUGUAGUCGGUCCCAAGGGUUGGGCUGUUCGCCCAUUAAAGCGGCACGCGAGCUGGGUUCAGAACGUCGUGAGACAGUUCGGUCCCUAUCCGUCGCGGGCGCAGGAAAUUUGAGAGGAGCUGUCCUUAGUACGAGAGGACCGGGAUGGACACACCGCUGGUGUACCAGUUGUUCCGCCAGGAGCAUCGCUGGGUAGCUAUGUGUGGCAGGGAUAAACGCUGAAAGCAUCUAAGCGUGAAGCCCCCCUCAAGAUGAGAUUUCCCAUUUCUUCGGAAAGUAAGAUCCCUGAAAGAUGAUCAGGUAGAUAGGUUUGGAGUGGAAGUGUAGCGAUACAUGGAGCGGACAAAUACUAAUCGAUCGAGGACUUAACCAAAA